AUUGAACGCUGGCGGCGUGGCUAAAGCAUGCAAGUCGCACGGAGCCGCAAGGCUCAGUGGCGGACGGGUUAGUAAUACGAUCGAACGUACCCUGAGGUGGAGGAUAGCGGCGGGAAACCGCCGGUAAUACUCCAUGAUCUCCCCGGAGCAAAGUCGCAAGGCGCCUUUGGAUCGGCGAUCGUCCUAUCAGCUAGUUGGCGGGGUAACGGCCCACCAAGGCGAUGACGGGUAGCAGGUGUGAGAGCACGACCUGCAACAUCGGGACUGAGACACUGCCCGGACUCCUACGGGAGGCUGCAGCGACGAAUCUUCCGCAAUGGGCGCAAGCCUGACGGAGCGACGCCGCGUGUGGGAUGAAGCGUCUUCGACGUGUAAACCGACUGUCAGAGAACAGAAACACUGAUUGUUCUCAGAGGAAGGGGCGACUAACUCUGUGCCAGCCGCCGCGGU
rnacentral:rRNA from 1 species